rnacentral:lncRNA from 1 species
ACGCUCAAGUCAGUACUCUGCUUCAACAGAAAUGGAGCACUCAAAUGAGAUUUUAGCAGAGUUUAGAGAUAGUGCUUAGAGCUUAGAGGAGAACGUAUCUGGGGUGUCUCUUUUAUAGAUGGGAGAGCGUAACCGAUUGACAGCGAUGUCCAUAACUGCCUAGUAGUGGGCCGUUCGGGGCCACUUGGAGUUUGUUACAGAGAGUAAUGGUGUCCAUUGUCGCGACUUGUCGGAGAGUGGUGGGGCCACAUGGAGUUUGUUACAGAGAGU